CUUUUACAGAUUUGACCAAGGAUUUGACGAAGGAGAACAUUCCCAUUUCCAACUACGCAUCUUGGGUUGGAAUGAUAUUGAAAUCGAAUACCCUAUUCGUGGAGGAGGAUAUAAGAACAUCUUUUGCCAUGGUACCUUUCGGUAGAGAAGGCACAUCUAGACAGAAGUUGGACUGCUGAAUACACUGCCUAUAGAGACGGUGAUGAUAGAGUAGAACGUACCUGCAGAGUCUCCAUAUUCCGGCUGAAAAUUGAAGACUAACUAAGCAUAAAUUGUUCAUGGUUCCAUAUCAUACGCUUGUGAGGUUAGAUAUGAGGAAAAAUUAAUUAGUUUAGAUUAGUGAUAGAUGGAGUUCAGAGGAAGUAUUGCUAUUAAUGUAAAAUUGAGUUGGAUUUGAGUGCAAUUUUCAUUAGCGAAUGUUCCUCUUAUUGUAUCCAAAGUAUCUCAUCUAGAAAAGAGAAAGAGAUUGUGUGAGAUCAGUGCAAUAACCUUUGAAUCAUUCAACCAUAUACACUUUCAGAAAAAAAAUUCCUCUCUUUUGGUAAACAAACAAGUUCUGAAUGAGUGUUUUUUUUUUUCUAUAAUAAAGACUUGCAGCAGAAAUGGAACAAUAAGAAACGGUGUUGAAAACAAUGUGAUCCAUAUCAUGUCGAUUCUUUCAACAUGUAAAAUAGUGAAGAUUUGAACUCCGAACCUCUCAACUCUCAAACAGCAAAUGGAAGCCCUCACCAGCCUAAGCCCUAAACCGCCCGAAACGAUGAGCAGCGCCGGCAUCGGAUCCCCCGCCACAAUGUCGCCUCCGUCGAGUCCGCCUCGGCUGUGCUCCUCCAAUCCCUCGCGUACCUCCAACCGCACCACCGACCUCGGGUUCCGGCUCCGACGAUCCGCGCCAACCACCGCGUCGACGAGAAGGAGAUGUCCGCCGUCAUCAAUAAAGUGACCAAAGCCGCCGACCGCGACGACAUGCUCUGCGACGACGCCGUUACGUCACCUCAAUUCCUCGUCUCCAGGUUGCAGGGGCUCAAACGAAAGGUAACGGAUCAGUAUUCAAUGAAUUAGAGUGAUCUGGAGUAUUGAAUUGUUGAAAAUUUGAGAUAAUUUUGGAUAUUGCUGAUUGAAUUGGGAAAUUUCGAUUGUGAUUUGUGUGCUGAAUGAUGUAAUUGCUUGGUGAAGCUGGAAUAGGGGAGCAAGACUGAGCACCUACAGGCGCAGAGGUGAGUGCUCUGUUCUGUUUCUCAUGAAAUCUUUCCUGCAUUUGAAAAUUGGGUGAGGUUUCUGGUGUUAGGAGUGCAAUUACGGCUUCUACUGUUCUAUUGUGUAUGGUACUGUUAGGACUACACUAUAUCAGCAGAACCUUAGAUCACCGCAUUGAAGCUGAGAUAGGGUUUAUGGGAACAGUAGUCUUAGUGCGCAAACUAGCUUCACCUAAUUUAGAAUGAGUAGUUAUUUAGUUUCUAUAUUAUCUUGUAAAUGGAAAGUUUCAUUGAGUUUAGGGUUUAUGGGUUGGUUUUUAAUGUUUAGAGUUGAAGAUGAUCAUUUUAGGAAAGGCUGAAGUAAACAAGUCCUGGAAAUGAGGAUAAUGGAUAGUUGGAAAGGUUGUUAUUUAGAAACUAUGUAAUGCUUCGUUUAAUGUUUCUUUAUGAUUGAUGCUUUAGAGUUGCUUACGGAUUGAGAUAAUUUACUGGCAUUGUUGAAGAUAGUAGCAUAUUGUUUCGAAGAUUGAGAGUUACUGAUGAACUUGUUAACUUUCGACUGGUUGCUAUUAUAAAUCUGUUUCUAGCCUCCUAGGUUUGUAAUUGAACUUCAUUUAAUUUUUAUUUCACAGUCGGUUUUGUUGUUUCCCUUAUUCAAAUAUGAGCUUGAUCGAAUCAACAGUUUUGAAUAUGGAAGUGAGUGUUUCAGUUCACAUAGAACUGGGGAUAUCUAUGUUCUGUACUAAUAAUUGUUAAUUUUUUGAGUUUUUUAGGCUCCUGUAAGGUAAACUUGGGUUUGAAUUCAUUCUGAUACUAAAUUGUGUAAUGUAAGGCUACCGACAGCUUGUCUUCUUUAUGUGGGUGCAACUUUGCAGUUCAUAAACAAGUGCUCUUAUAAAUCAACAAGUGAGCCUCGUACUCGACCUUCAGACUCUCUCUCUCUCUCUCUCUCUCUCUCUCAAACACGCACAUACAAAUUUGUUAUUGCACUCCUGAUUGUUUCUCUUAUGAUUCAAUCAUAAAUGCAACCCCCUCCCCUUCCCUGAUAAAUGUAUUGCAUUGUAACAAGUGGCAGAUUUUAUAUAUCUUCUUGAUAGUUCAAUUUCAUUUAUGAGAUGCUUCCCACAUUUUGUUGUAUUCAAGUUUUGAAGCCAUUUAUGUGUGUGUGAAGUCCAUGUUUGCAAAGAUCCUAACACUAUUCAGUAUGUCAAUGCUUUCUUUGAAAAUAUUGUCCUAUACUCUCUUGGUUAUAAGAUUAAGGAAUUAUUCUUAGUUUCCCAUGUAUUUUACCUCCUCAGCUGAUUGUCCUAUACUCUUGUUGAGAAUGUAAUGAAAAAUGCAGCUGCUCUUCAAUUGUGUUAUUUUAAUAUGUGCUCGUCUCUUACUCGUGAAAUGCGCUUUUCUAUUCUAAUGGCCAGAACGCUAUGUUCUAUAAUCUUUCCCACAUGGUAGGAUUAGCUUCACAACACAAUUAGUAAUCUAUUAGUCGCAGUUAGUAUUUGGGAGAAUUAGAAUAGUUGAAUGUCAAAAAAUUGGAUAAUAUGUCUGUGCAUCAAAUAUUAAGGAUUUUGUUUCUUCUUCUUUGGUUGUCCUCAUUUUAUGCAAUAGCUUACUAAUUGUGUUGUGAAGCUAAUCCUACCAUGUGCAUAAUUGUUGUAACCUGGUGGGAGAGAUUUUGAAGGAUACCAACUCCAUUUCAGUGACAAUUUCAGGUGCUGGUUGGAAAGUAUUUAGGCAGGACAAUCAUCUGGAAGAAGUUGAUGUCUGUGUGCUAGAGGUGAUAGAGCAGAGUUUCGAUAUUCUGAGCUAAAAAGUGAAGAUAUCAUGAAUUGUUCAUAGUUCCAGAGCAUACUCUUUUGAGGUUAGAUGUGAGGAAAAGUUAUGUAUCAUCUUAAGAAAAAAUCAGUGGUAGAGGAAGCUCAGAGGAAGUAUUGCUAUCAAUGUAAAAAUGAGUGCUUUUGGUUGGAUUUGAGUACUAUUUUCAUUUGCAGAUAUUCCUAUGUCUAAGGGGAUAGUUUUACA